UACCGAAUUCAGAUAAACUCCGAAUGCCAUGUACUUAUACUCGGGAGUCAGACUGCGAGUGAUAAGAUCCGUAGUCGAAAGGGAAACAGCCCAGACCACCAGUUAAGGUCCCCAAAUAUAUGUUAAGUGGAAAAGGAUGUGGGGUUGCUUAGACAACCAGGAUGUUGGCUUAGAAGCAGCCACCAUUGAAAGAGUGCGUAAUAGCUCACUGGUCGAGUGACCCCGCGCCGAAAAUGUACCGGGGCUAAACAUAUUACCGAAACUGUGGAUGAACCUCUUUAGAGGUUCGUGGUAGGAGAGCGUUCUAAGGGCGGUGAAGUCAGACCGGAAGGACUGGUGGAGCGCUUAGAAGUGAGAAUGCCGGUAUGAGUAGCGAAAGAAGGGUGAGAAUCCCUUCCACCGAAUAUCUAAGGUUUCCUGAGGAAGGCUCGUCCGCUCAGGGUUAGUCGGGACCUAAGCCGAGGCCGAUAGGCGUAGGCGAUGGACAACAGGUAGAGAUUCCUGUACCAGUGCUAAUUGUUUAACCGAUGGGGUGACACAGAAGGAUAGGGAAUCGCACGAAUGGAAAUGUGCGUCCAAGCAGUGAGUGUGAGAAGUAGGCAAAUCCGCUUCUCGCGAAGCAUGAGCUGUGAUGGGGAAGGAAAUUAAGUACGGAAGUUCCUGAUUUCACGCUGUCAAGAAAAGCCUCUAGGAAGAGUAGUACUGCCCGUACCGCAAACCGACACAGGUAGAUGAGGAGAGAAUCCUAAGGUGAGCGAGAGAACUCUCGUUAAGGAACUCGGCAAAAUGACCCCGUAACUUCGGGAGAAGGGGUGCUCUAUUAGGGUGCAAGCCCGAGAGAGCCGCAGUGAAUAGGCCCAGGCGACUGUUUAGCAAAAACACAGGUCUCUGCAAAACCGUAAGGUGACGUAUAGGGGCUGACGCCUGCCCGGUGCUGGAAGGUUAAGAGGAGUGCUUAGCUUCGGCGAAGGUACGAAUUGAAGCCCCAGUAAACGGCGGCCGUAACUAUAACGGUCCUAAGGUAGCGAAAUUCCUUGUCGGGUAAGUUCCGACCCGCACGAAAGGCGCAACGAUCUGGGCACUGUCUCAACGAGAGACUCGGUGAAAUUAUAGUACCUGUGAAGAUGCAGGUUACCCGCGACAGGACGGAAAGACCCCGUGGAGCUUUACUGCAACCUGAUAUGGAAUGUUUGUACCGCUUGUACAGGAUAGGUAGGAGCCGAAGAGACGUGUGCGCUAGCAUACGAGGAGGCAAUGGUGGGAUACUACCCUGGCUGUAUGACCAUUCUAACCCGCCACGCUUAGCGCGUGGGGAGACAGUGUCAGGUGGGCAGUUUGACUGGGGCGGUCGCCUCCUAAAGAGUAACGGAGGCGCCCAAAGGUUCCCUC
rnacentral:rRNA from 1 species